rnacentral:misc_RNA from 1 species
GUAGGUGAACCUGCGGAAGGAUCAUUACAAAAACAAAAUCCAAAACACACCAAAUGUGCUCUUUUGACGCAAAGGUCUUUGUGUGUGUGUAAGUGUGUAAGUAUGUGUGUCUCUGUUUUGUGUUGGGUGCGUGGCAACACACACUCACACACUUCACCGCACAUACACACACCACACACACACACACACAACCCUUUGUUUGUCUUUUUGUUUUCAAUUUUCAUCAACUCCUUGUUUAACCAACAACGGAUUACAAUGUUAAAACUGAAACCAAAAACAAUAACAAAAUGACAACUUUUAACGGUGGAUCUCUUGGCUCGU